rnacentral:lncRNA from 1 species
CGACAAACGGAAGAUGACUCGGACGAGGAACCUUCCCUCUUCCCUCCAGUUCCUCCUUAUCGGUAGUCAGCAGUUGACUCACUAUAGCAGUGAAUCAUAUAAAUACCUGAAGUUCCUGAUGCAAGUUGUUCCCGGUCCGAAGGUGCGACGCAGUGGUCAGUGCGCCGGGUUCCCGUCGCGUCACCUCUCGUGGACGUGGGAGGUAGACGACGAUGCGACGUAAAAGAACCAGACAUUAUAUUCUUUAAAAUGUAAUUUUCUUUAAGAAGUCAAACAGGACGAAAAAUUGAUAAGCUUCAGAUUAUCGUUCAACAGGAACCAGCUGCAGUACGAAAUUCGGAAGUCAUCCCCAUGUAUAAAAAAGGGAAUCUACUGUUCAUUGAUCUGUCAUCCAGAUUUCCACGGUUGAGAAAAGAACCUAGAAUCCAAAGAUAUCCAAGCAAGCUUCGAAGAAUAUUAUAAUUCCAAGUCUAAUUCCCAGGUAUCUUGACGUGACGCAUUCGAUCCUUUCCUUUUGGUUUCUAUAACUCGAAU